GACGAACGCUGGCGGCGUGCUUAACACAUGCAAGUCGAACGGAAAGGCCCUGCUUGCAGGGUACUCGAGUGGCGAACGGGUGAGUAACACGUGGGUGAUCUGCCCUGCACUUCGGGAUAAGCCUGGGAAACUGGGUCUAAUACCGGAUAGGAGCCAUUUUUAGUGUGAUGGUUGGAAAGUUUUUUCGGUGUAGGAUGAGCUCGCGGCCUAUCAGCUUGUUGGUGGGGUAAUGGCCUACCAAGGCGGCGACGGGUAGCCGGCCUGAGGGGGUGGACGGCCACAUUGGGACUGAGAUACGGCCCAGACUCCUACGGGAGGCAGCAGUGGGGAAUAUUGCACAAUGGGCGCCAGCCUGAUGCAGCGACGCCGCGUGGGGGAUGACGGCCUUCGGGUUGUAAACUCCUUUCGCUAGGGACGAAGCUUUUUGUGACGGUACCUAGAUAAGAAGCACCGGCUAACUACGUG
rnacentral:rRNA from 1 species